ACGGCCCAGACUCCUACGGGAGGCAGCAGUGGGGAAUAUUGGACAAUGGGGGAAACCCUGAUCCAGCAAUGCCGCGUGUGUGAAGAAGGUCUUCGGAUUGUAAAGCACUUUCGACGGGGACGAUGAUGACGGUACCCGUAGAAGAAGCCCCGGCUAACUUCGUGCCAGCAGCCGCGGUAAUACGAAGGGGGCUAGCGUUGCUCGGAAUGACUGGGCGUAAAGGGCGCGUAGGCGGUUUGGACAGUCAGAUGUGAAAUCCCCGGGCUUAACCUGGGAACUGCAUUUGAUACGUCCAGACUAGAGUUCGAGAGAGGGUUGUGGAAUUCCCAGUGUAGAGGUGAAAUUCGUAGAUAUUGGGAAGAACACCGGUGGCGAAGGCGGCAACCUGGCUCGAUACUGACGCUGAGGCGCGAAAGCGUGGGGAGCAAACAGGAUUAGAUACCCUGGUAGUCCACGCUGUAAACGAUGUGUGCUGGAUGUUGGA
rnacentral:rRNA from 1 species